GGGGAGGUGCCGUGCGGGUCGGUCAGCGCGUCCCCUCCCCGCUGCCGGCGGCCCGGGCCGAGCUCCGAGCCCCCGGCCGCCGCCAUCGGGAAGCCGGGCCGCGCCGCCGCGGCCAUGGCGACGGACGUGAUGCCCACCUGUGUUUGCUGUUCUGUGCUGUCUUUCAAAACUGUGCCCUCAAGGGGAGGUGACCUUUGACAAGGCCCGGACUGACACGAUGUGGACGCGGCCUUUGGAGGACUCCUCCUGUGAACAUUCUUCUGCAGCCAUUGGGUUUUUGCCUGCGGAAUCUUCGUUAUCCUUCUUCCAGUCCUCCUUCUCUCCAUCAACAGGAAGCUCUACUUUGAAAAGAGAGGUGGGCUCUCAUGUCUGGAACGAGAAGGGA